rnacentral:rRNA from 1 species
UACGAAGGGUGCAAGCGUUACUCGGAAUUACUGGGCGUAAAGCGUGCGUAGGCGGUUCGUUAAGUCUGUCGUGAAAGCCCGGCGCUCAACGCCGGGUCGGCCGUGGAUACUCUCGGGCUUGAGCUUACUAGAGGCAGAUGGAAUUCCGGGUGUAGCGGUGGAAUGCGUAGAGAUCCGGAAGAACACCGGUGGCGAAGGCGGUCUGCUGGGGUAAUGCUGACACUGAGGCGCGACAGCGUGGGGAGCAAACAGGG